GGAUGUGAGGGCGAUCUGGCUGCGACAUCUGUCACCCCAUUGAUCGCCAGGGUUGAUUCGGCUGAUCUGGCUGGCUAGGCGGGUGUCCCCUUCCUCCCUCACCGCUCCAUGUGCGUCCCUCCCGAAGCUGCGCGCUCGGUCGAAGAGGACGACCAUCCCCGAUAGAGGAGGACCGUUCUUCGGUCAAGGGUAUACGAGUAGCUGCGCUCCCCUGCUAGAACCUCCAAACAGGCUCUCAAAAACUCUGAAUAUCUAGCUACAGAGAAAAUAUUAAAUACGUAUUUCUUUGAAGUAUUUCAUAGAAGUUGAGUUUAGUG
rnacentral:snRNA from 1 species